rnacentral:rRNA from 1 species
AUUGAACGCUGGCGGCAGGCCUAACACAUGCAAGUCGAGCGGAGCGGGGGACGGGAGAGUAAUGCCUAGGAAUCUGCCUGGGAGUGGGGGAAAAGGAAAGGAAACGGGAGCUAAUACCGCAUACUAGAAGAAGAGGCUAGGUCGGAUUAGCUAGUUGGUGGGGUAAAGGCAUACCAAGGCGACGAUCCGUAACUGGUCUGAGAGGAUGAUCAGUCACACUGGAACUGAGACACGGUCCAGACUCCUACGGGAGGCAGCAGUGGGGAAUAUUGGACAAUGGGCGAAAGCCUGAUCCAGCCAUGCCGCGUGUGUGAAGAAGGUCUUCGGAUUGUAAAGCACUUUAAGUUGGGAGGCGUUACCAACAGAAUAAGCACCGGCUAACUUCGUGCCAGCAGCCGCGGUAAUAC